UACGUAGGCAGCAAGCGUUGUUCGGAGUUACUGCGCGUAAAGGGUGCGUAGGCGGCUUCUUAAGUCUGGUGUGAAAUCUCCCGGCUCAACUGGGAGGCUGCCGUGGAAACUGCCGUGCUUGAGUGUGGGAGAGGUGAGUGGAAUUCCCGGUGUAGCGGUGAAAUGCGUAGAUAUCAGGAGGAACACCAAUAGCGAAGGCAGCUCGCUGGGACGUUACUGACACUGAGGCGCGAAAGCGUGGGGAGCGAACAGG
rnacentral:rRNA from 1 species